rnacentral:rRNA from 1 species
GACGAACGCUGUUGGCGUGCCUAACACAUGCAAGUCGAGCGAAGUGAGUACUACGGUACGAACUUAGCGGCGGACGGGUGAGUAACGCGUGGACAAUCUACCCUGUAGACUGGGAUAACACCUCGAAAGGGGUGCUAAUACCGGAUAAUGUCGAGGAGCGGCAUCGCUUUUCGAAGAAAGGAAAGAAUCCACUAUAGGAGGAGUCCGCGUCCCAUUAGCUAGUUGGUGAGGGUAACGGCCCACCAAGGCGACGAUGGGUAGCCGGCCUGAGAGGGUGAACGGCCACACUGGAACUGAGACACGGUCCAGACUCCUACGGGAGGCAGCAGUGGGGAAUAUUGUGCAAUGGGGGAAACCCUGACACAGCAACGCCGCGUGAGCGAAGAAGGCCUUCGGGUUGUAAAGCUCAAUAGUAUGGGAAGAUAAUGACGGUACCAUACGAAAGCCCCGGCUAACUACGUGCCAGCAGCCGCCGUAACAC